CAGGGCCAGGCUCUCACCCAGCUUGGUGAUGCCAAUCUCCUGCAGGUCCUCCCAGGUGAUGUCGGUGAUGAAGUCGAUGUUCUCGUAGCCAUUGUCCACCAGCACCUUGUAGUACUGGGCCAGGCCAAUCAUGGAGAGCCACAUGGCCAGGUUAGCCUAGGGAGCAGGGGACACAGAGGGCAGCCCGAGCUGGCUGCCCACAGCCUGCUCGCUACUCGGAGUUCUUGGGGGUGGGGACACCGGGCCAGCCCAGCACAGACAGACAGAAGGACAAACGGAUAGGCCAGAGGUGUCAGCCUUGGAGGCUGCAGCCUCGGCAGGAGCCCGAGACCAGCCCACACGCAGGCAAACACACGAACACAAGCCCACGAGGGAGCCUGUCUUUAGCACACCGCCUGGGGAGGGGGAAGAACGUGCUUCCUCACCUUCCCAGGCAGCCACAGGGACAGUACCUGGGUAGACACGCCCCACAAAUCAUGGACGGACACACAGCACCACUGAGCAGACACCCUCCACAUCAUGCUCACGCCUCUCACGUCGGGCACACGCCACACGGCCACAUCACACUCGAGUGCAAACAUCCAUGAUGGGCUUCACGCAAAGCCACCCAGUAGCCCCCUGAAGGGUAUCCACCGCCCACACUCCCAGCUGGAUGUCACUCACACACUGGUGGCACACAGCACACUUGAUCACCCUGGGUGCACAGGGCAAAGUGGGACCACAGGAGCUGCACCCGCUCCCUGGGAGGACCCUGAGCUGCUGACUGAGUGGGACUAGGCGAGGUAGAUAAGCAGGAACCCGCCCACCAUCGACCUACCCCUGGGGGUUUUCGGUGGCCAUGGCACCUCUCCUAUUGACGGAUGGAAGCCUAAAGUUCAGUGUGAGGCCUAGAGAAGUGGCAUCAAGACAGGCCUUGGACCCACCUUCUGCUGGCCAGAGCCUGUCCCACACCUGGGUGCCUGUUAGCAGCAGUGCAGGCUUGCGUCUGUGUGGGUGCUGGCCAGCACGUGCAUUGACCAUGGGGGUGUGCGCAUGUAGUCAUCAAUGGGCACCUUGCUUAUCUAGUGCACACAGGCUGUGAAGCAUGCACACACAUGCAUCUUUCCCACACGUGCUGCAGUGUGUGUAAGCAUCUCCAAUCAAUGUACACCUCUCUGCAGUGUCUGGGUGUGUGUCUUUGGAGGGGGGGGUACCAAGCAGUGCAGCUGUUCCUGUACAGCUGAGUUGGGGGGUGUCUUUGGAUUCUCCUGACUGCGGGUGUCCCUUGCCUGACAGCCCUCAGAGACUGUCACCCCUGCCCUGCCCCAGGGAAGCUGGCCUGAGUGCCCGUGGUGGACAGAGACCAUCCAGGCAGGUCACUGUUGGGGGGCCAUCCUCUGCUGUCCUCUCCCUGGAGCCCUGGAGGGCAGGGGAGGGCUGUUGGUCAGGAGGCAGUCUGUGUGCCUGCAGGCCUGGCCUCCAGGGCCCAGGGGGCCUUACGGGCUUGUGCUCAGGCAGCCAGUCCGAGAUGUUCAGGCUGCCGAUCUCUGCAGUGAUCUUCUUCCGGUGGCCUGGCUUGGUGACCCCGAUGGCUGUGAGGUCCUAGGUAGAGCAGAGGCCCAUUUAGCAGGUGGUUCGGGACUGUCUCUGGGCCCCAGCUGGUGGCAGGCCUUCGGGUAGCUCACCUCAGGGGUCAUACGGCUGAUGGUGGGCAGGUCAUAGCCGGCGCUGAUGAAGUUGGCAGCAUACAGCUGUAGCUGGAACGUGGUGAGCCACUGGGUGACAGCCUCUGUGCUCUGCAAGACACAAGGCCCUGGUUGCAGGCUCAGCCGCCCGCUCACCCGCCAGGUGUGCACCCCGGCCACCGCAGCGCCUCCUUCUCUGCUUGGCCAAAAGCCACGCAGCUGCUCAGUCUGUGUCCACUGGUCCACCUGCGGCCAGGCCCUGGCCAGCCUGGUGCUGGUCCUCCUCGCCACUCCUCGUCAUCCAGAUGCCGUCACCUCGAGCGUCGUCUGGCAUUUCAGCUCCUGCCGUGAUCUCCACCAGGAUGGUCCAGCUGCUGUCCAUGCCACAGGCCUUCAUUCAAAUGCCACCUCCCAACCGUCCUAGGCCUCCCCAGCUGAAAUACAGGCCAGCGUUACCAUGACGACUGAGCUAAUUCAUGGAGGGAUUUCUCCGUCUGACUUAUUACACCCGCCCCUGUGAGUCAGUGAGCCCAGAUAUGAGGGCCAGGGCAGGUGUCCCUCCUGUCCAGAGACCAGACCAGGCAGAAGCUAAUGUAGAGAUCCAGGGGCAGACCCAGGUAGAGGCUCAGCUGAGGCUGAUUCUGUCUGGAAGCCCUCCCUUUCUGAGCCCUGAGGCCCUGAAGCCUGCUCCAACUGGUAGACAGUUCCUGGGCCCCGUGGUGUGGAAGGCAGGGCCAUCCAGACCUGCAGCCCUCCACCUGCACAGGGGAGGAAGGUGCUGCAGCCGGAGGGGGUCAUCCUGGGGCUCAACCUACCCCCCCACCUGCCAGAAAGCAGUCUCAGGUCUCAGCAUGGCCCCUGCAGGGGUUGGGGGGGACCUCCCUGGCUUACAUACUGUCCCUGGGGCUGUGAUGGGGAGUGUAACAGACUCUUAAGUGCCACCCUGUGGAGCCCUGCCUGCGCCCCCUCAGGUGCCCUGACACACUGACACAGCCAUAUGUGCGCAGCCGCACACUUGCCUGGUCCACACGCCCAUCCAUCUCCAGCUGCCCCCGGGGAGGCUCUGGGCUGAGCUGGGAUGAGUGCUGGGAUCAGGGCUCCAAGCUACCAGCCCUUCCCUGGGGCCCCCAGAGCGCAAGCUCAGAUGGCCAAUGGGAGGCCCCCGUACCCCCCAGUCUCCUUUCCAGCAGAGAAGCCAGAGAAGACGAGGGUCUGUUGCAGCGUCCGUACCUGCCGGGGGCUCAGCCUGCCCUGGCUAGGCGACCUUGGGCCUCAGCAACCCCAGCAGUAAAUGGCCCCCAGCUGGCCAUGCCUGGGCAGCCACACCCCCAGCAUGGUCCUGCCCCCCCUUCCCUGCAAAGCGUGUUAUUAAACAUGGGGCGGGGAGGAGGUCUAACCGGGACUGGCAGCCCUGUGGUCACCGCUCACCGCAAGGGCCCCCUCCCUCCCUCCACGGUGGGGGGCAUCCGACUCGCCCUUUCAAAGCCCAGCAGAGACACCGAGCUGUCAGCCCGCGGCCGGGCAUGGAGAGGGAGGGAGGAAGGUGUACGCCGCGGACAGGGAGGUGGGACACCUCAUCACCCCAACUGGGCAAGGAUGGUAGGAGCACUGGUGAGGCUUGAACUUAUCAUGGCCUGACGACCUUCUUCCUGUAGCCCAGACCAUCGGGCAGGUCCAGGAGGAAGGCUGCCAUAGGAUGGGUGAGGUAGCAGUCCCUGGGACCCCUGAUCUGAGGAGGUGGUCAGUCCCCAUUGAGGGGUCUCCUGUGAAGUUUAGGGAGCAAGUAUAGGCCUCCCAGCACAUGCUGGGCACCCAGAGGGGUCCCUAAUGCAAUUUAGGGGUGACCUGUUCCUGGGCACCUACCUGCUGGGUCAGGCACUGUGCUGGUCACUGCAAAUCUUGGAUGUCCUGUGCCCGUUUUACAGAUGAAGAAACUGAGGCUUGGAGAAGCCAAGUGACUCACCUGGGGUCCUGGAGACUCGAGAUCAUGAGUCUGGGCUUUGACCCCACACUGGCCUUUACACGGGUCCCCUUUCUGCCUCCUACUGGGUUUGCCCUUCCACUUUGUCUUCUGAGCUUGGUUCCCCCUCAGAAAAUGGGGACAAGAAUGAUAUUUCCACUAAGGCAAUUUGAAGAUUCAUCACGAUGCUAACCCUAAAGCACUUCACAGCAGAGCUUAGUAAGUGCUCAGCAAAUGACUUCUGUGCAUAUUGUGAUAUUCUUGGGUCUCCCUGCUUUGGAUGUCUGGGGAGUGACUGUAUUCCAAUCAUCUUUGUAUCUGCAGAGCUCACAGAGGCACCACAAAAAGCAAAAUAAAAGGAUAGCUAUUAUUCCUUACCAUUGUUUUUAUAUUUUGGUCGGCUCAAGCCUGAGCCUAACAUCUACAGGGCCUAGAGCAAGAGGGUAAACAGAGGCCUGCACACUGCAUGUCUACACAUUAAGACAUUAUAGAUCACACUAAUGAUCUGUUCAAUAUGUUCUAUCCUCCUACUUGACAAAUAUACCUUUAUCAUGAUCUGAAAGGCUAAGUUCCAAGUUAGAAUCCUCUGAGUAAUGAACUG